GGCUGGUCUGAGUGCAGUGGUGUUUACAACUAAUUGAUCACAACCAGUUACAGAUUUCUUUGUUCCUUCUCCACUCCCACUGCUUCACUUGACUAGGGCU
ensembl:Y_RNA Y_RNA Y RNA